AGAAAAGUUUAUAUGAAGCCGCUAACUUCACUAAUCACAUCCACAAUCUUGUGCUUUUCUU
rnacentral:tRNA from 1 species